rnacentral:rRNA from 1 species
GACGAAGGGUGCUAGCGUUGUUCGGAAUUACUGGGCGUAAAGCGCGUGUAGGCGGUUGCCCAAGUCGGGUGUGAAAGCCUUGAGCUCAACUCAAGAAAUGCACUCGGUACUGGGUGACUAGAGGACCGGAGAGGAUAGUGGAAUUCCCAGUGUAGUGGUGAAAUACGUAGAGAUUGGGAAGAACACCAGUGGCGAAGGCGGCUAUCUGGACGGUUUCUGACGCUAAGACGCGAAAGCGUGGGGAGCAAACAGG